GGGAGUACAGCUCAAGUGGUAGAGCACACGCUUAGCAUGCACCGAGGUCUGGGGUUCAAUUCCCACUACUCCCU
rnacentral:tRNA from 1 species